ACCUAAGUCAACAGGCCAUAAAGAAAGAGCUGGAAGCCUUGUGCUAUGCACACAUUUCUACAUCUCUUACAGUAAUGAAGAUGAUACUUUGUCCUCCUAUCAAACUAAAAGUAUUCGGAAGAAAACCCCGUAUUUCCUAUCAUUUCACUGACAAAUACUUCAGUUGGUAUUUCUAACAGGAAUUGGGGCUAAGAAGCAGAAAAAAGAACAAAGCAAUAAAACGGGUAUCAACCACUCUUUUAUUUGACCCUGCCAUUAUUUAAAAAGUCCAUGGAAAGGGUAGAUAUUUCCAUAAUCCCUUAGAAGUCUGUAUUAUUUGCAGAAGCAAACUGUACAAGUAUGAAAGACAAUGUACAGAAUAGUGUCCAGCUCCUAAAACAAUGUUUGGUAUAUAAUAGAUGCCAAAUAAAAUUUAGUG